UACGAAGGGGGCUAGCGUUGUUCGGAAUUACUGGGCGUAAAGCGCGUGUAGGCGGUUGCCCAAGUCAGGUGUGAAAGCCUUGAGCUCAACUCAAGAAAUGCACUUGGUACUGGGUGGCUAGAGGACCGGAGAGGAUAGUGGAAUUCCCAGUGUAGUGGUGAAAUACGUAGAGAUUGGGAAGAACACCAGUGGCGAAGGCGGCUAUCUGGACGGUUACUGACGCUAAGACUCGAAAGCGUGGGGAGCAAACAGG
rnacentral:rRNA from 1 species